rnacentral:rRNA from 1 species
GGCGGACGGGUGAGUUAAGUCUGGGAACUGCCUGAUGGAGGGGGAUAACUACUGGAAACGGUAGCUAAUACCGCAUAACGUCGCAAGACCAAAGAGGGGGACCUUCGGGCCUCUUGCCAUCAGAUGUACCCAGAUGGGAUUAGCUAGUAGGUGGGGUAACCGCUCACCUAGGCGACGAUCCCUAGCUGGUCUGAGAGGAUGACCAGCCACACUGGAACUGAGACACGGUCCAGACUCCUACGGGAGGCAGCAGUGGGGAAUAUUGCCACAAUGGGCGCAAGCCUGAUGCAGCCAUGCCGCGUGUAUGAAGAUGGCCUUCGGGUUGUAAAGUACUUUCAGCGGGGAGGAAGGUGUUGUGGUUAAUAACCNCAGCAAUUGACGUUACCCGCAGAACAAGCACCGGAUAACUCCGUGCCAGAGCCGCGGUAAUACGGAGGGUGCAAGCGUUAAUCGGAAUUACUGGGCGUACAAGCGCACGCAGGCGGUCUGUCAAGUCGGAUGUGAAAUCCCCGGGCUCAACCUGAGAACUGCAUUCGAAACUGGCAGGCUAGAGUCUUGUAGCGGGGGGUAGAAUUCCAGGUGUAGCGGUGAAAUGCGUAGAGAUCUGGAGGAAUACCGGUGGCGAAGGCGGGCCC